GGAGAUUUAGCUCAGUGGUAGAGUGCUUGCCUAGCAAGCAGAAGGCUUUGGGUUCGGUCCCCAGCUCCG
rfam:Rattus norvegicus chromosome 20, whole genome shotgun sequence.